rnacentral:sRNA from 1 species
UGACUCGUAUACGCCGGGACCUACACUCC